CACUCUAGCCUAGGCGACAGAGAUAGACUGUCUCAAAACAAAAAAACAGGUCCUUUGGCGGGGGGUGCUGGAAACCCUGUGGGCCUGCACGGCGUUCUUCCUUUUCUAUUCGCCAUCUGCAGUGAAGCUGCCACCAAAAUGCAGAUUUUUGUGAAAACCCUUAGGGAGAAGACCAUCACCCUCGAGGUCAAACCCUCGGAUAAGAUAGAAAAUGUAAAGGCCACAAUCCAGGAUGAGGAAGGAAUUCCUCCUGAUCAGCAAAGACUGAUCUUUGCUAGCAAGCAGCAGGAAGAUGGACGUACUUUGUCUGACUACAAUGUUCAAAAGGAGUCUACUCUUCAUCUUGUGUUGAGACUUCAUGGUGCUGCUAAGAAAAGGAAGAAGUCUUAUACCACUCCCAAGAAGAAUAAGCACAAGAGAAAGAAGGUUAAGCUGGCUGUCCUGAAAUACUAUAAGGUGGAUGAGAAUGGUAAAAUUAGUCACCUUUGUCGAGAGUGCCUUUCUGACGAAUGUGGUGCUCGAGUGUUUAUGGCAAGCCACUUUGACAGACAGUAUUGUGGCAAAUGUUGUCUGACUUACUGCUUCAACAAACCAGAAGACAAGUAACUGUAUGAGUUAAUAAAAGACAAGAACUAACAA